UACAGAGGGUGCGAGCGUUAAUCGGAAUUACUGGGCGUAAAGCGUGCGUAGACGGUUAUCUAAGUCGGAUGUGAAAGCCCGGGCUCAACCUGGGAAUUGCAUUCGAGACUGAAUAGCUAGGGUGCGGUAGAGGAAGCGGAAUUUCCGGUGUAGCGGUGAAACGCGUAGAUAUCGGAAGGAACAUCAGUGGCGAAAGCGGCUUCCUGGACCAGCACCGACGUCAGGCACGAAGCG
rnacentral:rRNA from 1 species